rnacentral:rRNA from 1 species
GCUUACGGCCAUACCACCCUGAGAACGCCCGAUCUCGUCUGAUCUCGGAAGCUAAGCAGGGUCAGGCCUGGUUAGUACUUCGAUGGGAGACCCCCUGGGAAUACCAGGUGCUGUAAGCU